rnacentral:lncRNA from 10 species
CCUGUAAUCCCAGCACUUUGGGAGGCCAAGGCGGGAGGAUCGCUUGAGCCUAGGAGUUUGAGACCAGCCUAGGCAACAUAGUGAGAACCCGUCUCUACACAAAAUAGAAAAAUCUAGCCGGGUGUAGUGGCACAUGCCUGUAGUCCCAGCCACUCGGAGGCUGAGGCAGGAGGAUCGCUUGAGCCUGAGAAGUGGAGGCUGCAGUGAGCUGUGAUCUCGCCACUGCAUCCCAGCCUGGGUGACAUAGCGAAACCCUGUCUCAAAAACAAAACAAAACAAGAAUAUCCUGAAAUCCUCCUCUUUCUGUUUUAGAUUGUAUCUAUGCUUUUCACAUCAAUAGCAAAGUUGACUCCUGAGGCAGCCAAUCCUUUCUUUAAGUUGUUGACUAUGCUAAUGGAGUUUGCUGGUGGACCUCCAGGAAUGCCUCCCUUUGCAUCUUAUAUUCUGCAGAGGAUAUGGGAGGUGAUUGAAUACAAUCCUUCUCAGUGUCUAGAUUGGUUGGCAGUGCAGACACC